GACGAACGCUGGCGGCGUGCUUAACACAUGCAAGUCGAACGAUGACGACCGAGCUUGCUCGGUCUGAUUAGUGGCGAACGGGUGAGUAACACGUGAGCAACCUGCCCUUCACUCUGGGAUAACCUCGGGAAAUCGGGGCUAAUACCGGAUAUGAGCUCCUGUCGCAUGGCGGGUGUUGGAAAGUUUUUCGGUGAAGGAUGGGCUCGCGGCCUAUCAGUAUGUUGGUGAGGUAGUGGCUCACCAAGGCGAUGACGGGUAGCCGGCCUGAGAGGGCGACCGGCCACACUGGGACUGAGACACGGCCCAGACUCCUACGGGAGGCAGCAGUGGGGAAUAUUGCACAAUGGGCGAAAGCCUGAUGCAGCGACGCCGCGUGAGGGAUGACGGCCUUCGGGUUGUAAACCUCUUUCAGCAGGGAAGAAGCGAAAGUGACGGUACCUGCAGAAGAAGCGCCGGCUAACUACGUG
rnacentral:rRNA from 1 species